rnacentral:tRNA from 1 species
AGGGGUUUAGUUUAAUUGAGAUCGGGGGCCUUCAAAGCCCUAAGUGGAAGUUAGAACCUUUCAACCCCUG